ACGGGGGGGGCAAGCGUUAUUCGGAUUUACUGGGCGUAAAGCGCACGUAGGUGGCAAUGUAAGUCAUAGGUGAAAGCCCUCGGCUCAACCGAGGAACUGCCUGCGAAACUGCAUUGCUUGAGUCCGGGAGGGGGGAGCGGAAUUCCAAGUGUAGCGGUGAAAUGCGUAGAUACUUGGAGGAACACCGGUGGCGAAGGCGGCUCCCUGGACCGGUACUGACACUGAGGUGCGAAAGCGUGGGUAGCAAACAGG
rnacentral:rRNA from 1 species